rnacentral:rRNA from 1 species
UAUUUUAGAGUGGAUGAAUAUACGCUACAGAUCUCUACAUGAAGUAUGAGGUUCCGAAGAUCCAAACCCGACACAUCUUCCCGUCAAAACCAGCUGAAACGAUCAAAUCACUCUCAACACCUGACUGGUGCUGAUACCCCCACCGCACCGAUGAAUAGAGACGAUGCACUACACCCCAAAGCUCCUUCCCGUCGCGGCGGGCUGACACGAGGGUUCUCACUCAAGCGAUCCACCGAAUGGAGCAACCGAUCCGAUGAAGAAAUGUUCUUCGGCCCGUAUGCGCACAUUCGCAAGACGAUUGAUUACACGUAUCAUUCG